rnacentral:lncRNA from 1 species
UAGGUUUUGAAUGACAUGACACAUAUGAUUUUGUAUCUAAUGAUAUGGUAUCUUGAAAAUUCUUGUAUUCUGCCUUGCAUUAUGAUAUCUUACUUGUUUGAAAUCAUUCCUUUUGUUCUGAAUAUGCUUUGUCACUUGCUGAGCUGUUUUUAGCUCACUUCGUUGUUAUAUAAAAUCUUUCAGGUCAGCUUGUCACUCUUUGAGAUGUUUGAAUUGGGCUGAGGCAGUGGAGAGCUAUUCAGAAUUAUGGGCAAGUCUUAUUGGUUAUUAUGUUAUUGUUGUAUAAGUAUAUUUUGUAUGUAAUGAAAUGUUGUCGAUGAACCGAAAUGGAUAUACCUUGUAAAAGUGUUAGAAGAUCUCUCUUAUUUGGAAUUUUGGAAUGUUAAGUCUAGUUUACGAUGAUAUGAACUUAUGGUAAAU